UGCUCCUCCAGUGGUGCAAUGGGUCAGUGCGCCUGGAUGUUAACCAGAAGGUUGGUGGUUUGAGCCCACCCAGGGCAG